GGAUCCAGACUUUGAUCCUGGCUCAGGAUGAACGCUAGCUACAGGCUUAACACAUGCAAGUCGAGGGGAAACGACAUCGAAAGCUUGCUUUUGAUGGGCGUCGACCGGCGCACGGGUGAGUAACGCGUAUCCAACCUGCCCAUCACUUGGGAAUAACCUUGCGAAAGUAAGACUAAUACCCAAUGAUAUCCCACGAAGGCAUCCGAAUGGGAUUAAAGAUUUAUCGGUGAUGGAUGGGGAUGCGUCUGAUUAGCUUGUUGGCGGGGUAACGGCCCACCAAGGCAACGAUCAGUAGGGGUUCUGAGAGGAAGGUCCCCCACAUUGGAACUGAGACACGGUCCAAACUCCUACGGGAGGCAGCAGUGAGGAAUAUUGGUCAAUGGGCGAGAGCCUGAACCAGCCAAGUAGCGUGCAGGAUGACGGCCCUAUGGGUUGUAAACUGCUUUUAUAAGGGAAUAAAGUGGGUCACGUGUGACUUUUUGCAAGUACCUUAUGAAUAAGGACCGGCUAAUUCCGUGCCAGCAGCCGCGGUAAUACGGAAGGUCCGGGCGUUAUCCGGAUUUAUUGGGUCUAAAGGGAGCGUAGGCCGGAGAUUAAGCGUGUUGUGAAAUGUAGAGGCUCAACCUCUGCACUGCAGCGCGAACUGGUCUUCUUGAGUACGCACAACGUGGGCGGAAUUCGUGGUGUAGCGGUGAAAUGCUUAGAUAUCACGAAGAACUCCGAUUGCGAAGGCAGCACACGGGAGCGCAACUGACGCUGAAGCUCGAAAGUGCGGGUAUCGAACAGGAUUAGAUACCCUGGUAGUCCGCACGGUAAACGAUGGAUGCCCGCUGUUGGCCUGAAUAGGUCAGCGGCCAAGCGAAAGCAUUAAGCAUCCCACCUGGGGAGUACGCCGGCAACGGUGCAACUCAAAGGAAUUGACGG
rnacentral:rRNA from 1 species